AGCGAACGCUGGCGGCAGGCCUAACACAUGCAAGUCGAACGAACCUUUCGGGGUUAGUGGCGGACGGGUGAGUAACACGUGGGAACGUGCCUUUAGGUUCGGAAUAACUCAGGGAAACUUGUGCUAAUACCGAAUGUGCCCUUCGGGGGUAAGAUUUAUUGCCUUUUGAGGGGGCCGGGACUGAUUCGCUAGUUGGGUGGGGGAAUGGCUCAACAAGGCGACGGUGAGGGGCUGGUCUGAGAGGAUGAUAAGCCACAUUGGGACUGAGACACGGCCCAAACUCCUACGGGAGGGAGCAGUGGGGAAUCUUGCGCAAGGGGCGAAAGCCUGACGCAGCCAUGUCGCGUGAAUGAUGAAGGUCUUAGGAUUGUAAAAUUCUUUCACCGGGGGCGAUAAUGACGGUACCCGGAGAAGAAGCCCCGGCUAACUUCGUG
rnacentral:rRNA from 1 species